CACGUAGGGCGCGAGCGUUGUCCGGAAUUAUUGGGCGUAAAGAGCUCGUAGGCGGCCUGUUGCGUCCGCUGUGAAAGCCCGGGGCUUAACUCCGGGUCGCAGUGGAUACGGGCAGGCUAGAGGUAGGUAGGGGAGAAUGGAAUUCCCGGUGUAGCGGUGAAAUGCGCAGAUAUCAGGAGGAACACCGAUGGCGAAGGCAGAUCUCUGGGCCGUAACUGACGCUGAGGAGCGAAAGCAUGGGGAGCGAACAGG
rnacentral:rRNA from 1 species